rnacentral:rRNA from 1 species
CGUAGGUGGCAAGCGUUGUCCGGAUUUAUUGGGUUUAAAGGGUGCGUAGGUGGCCCUGUAAGUCAGUGGUGAAAUAUCUCAGCUUAACUGAGAGGGUGCCAUUGAUACUGCAGGGCUUGAGUACAGAUGAGGUAGGCGGAAUUGACGGUGUAGCGGUGAAAUGCAUAGAUAUCGUCAAGAACACCGAUAGCGAAGGCAGCUUACCAAGCUGUAACUGACACUGAGGCACGAAGUGUGGGGAUCAAACAGGAUUAGAUACCCUGGUAGUCCACACUGUAAACGUUGAUGACUCGAUGUUGGCGAUACACAGCCAGCGUCCAAGAGCAAUCGUUAAGUCAUCCACCUGGGGAGUACGCCGGCAACGGUG